rnacentral:rRNA from 1 species
GAAGCUUGCUUCCGUUCAAGUUAGCGGCGGACGGGUGAGUAACACGUGGGUAACCUGCCUGUAAGACUGGGAUAACUCCGGGAAACCGGGGCUAAUACCGGAUAUUCUUUUUCUUCGCAUGAAGAAGAAUGGAAAGGCGGCUUUUAGCUGUCACUUACAGAUGGACCCGCGGCGCAUUAGCUAGUUGGUGAGGUAACGGCUCACCAAGGCAACGAUGCGUAGCCGACCUGAGAGGGUGAUCGGCCACACUGGGACUGAGACACGGCCCAGACUCCUACGGGAGGCAGCAGUAGGGAAUCUUCCGCAAUGGACGAAAGUCUGACGGAGCAACGCCGCGUGAGUGAAGAAGGUUUUCGGAUCGUAAAGCUCUGUUGUCAGGGAAGAACAAGUACGGAAGUAACUGUCCGUACCUUGACGGUACCUGACCAGAAAGCCACGGCUAACUACGUGCCAGCAGCCGCGGUAAUACGUAGGUGGCAAGCGUUGUCCGGAAUUAUUGGGCGUAAAGCGCGCGCAGGCGGCUUCUUAAGUCUGAUGUGAAAGCCCACGGCUCAACCGUGGAGGGUCAUUGGAAACUGGGAGGCUUGAGUGCAGAAGAGGAGAGCGGAAUUCCACGUGUAGCGGGUGAAAUGCGUAGAGAUGUGGAGGAACAC